CCUACGGGAGGCAGCAGUGAGGAAUAUUGGUCAAUGGGCGGGAGCCUGAACCAGCCAAGUCGCGUGAGGGAAGACGGUCCUAUGGAUUGUAAACCUCUUUAGGCGGGGAGCAAUGCCGGGCACGUGUGCCCGGAGGGAGAGUACCCGCAGAAUAAGCAUCGGCUAACUCCGUGCCAGCAGCCGCGGUAAUACGGGGGAUGCGAGCGUUAUGCGGAUUUAGUGGGUUUAAAGGGUGCGUAGGCGGAUGUUUAAGUCAGCGGUAAAAUGUCCGGGCUCAACCCGGGCCGGCCGUUGAAACUGGGGAUCUUGAGUGGGCGAGAAGUAUGCGGAAUGCGUGGUGUAGCGGUGAAAUGCAUAGAUAUCACGCAGAACUCCGAUUGCGAAGGCAGCAUACCGGCGCCCGACUGACGCUGAGGCACGAAAGCGUGGGGAUCGAACAGGAUUAGAUACCCUAGUAGUC
rnacentral:rRNA from 1 species